CAUUUGUCCUCUAAAUAAGGACUUGUAUGAAUGGCAACACGAGAGUUUUACUGUCUCUUACUUCCAAUCAGUGAAAUUGACCUCCCCGUGAAGAGGCGGGGAUAAGCUAACAAGACGAGAAGACCCUAUGGAGCUUUAACUAACUAACCCAAAGAAAAUACAAUUAACCACCAAGGGAUAACAACACUCUUUAUGGGCUAGCAGUUUUGGUUGGGGCGACCUCGGAGAAUAAAAGAUCCUCCGAACGAUUUUAAAGGCUAGACUUACAAGUCAAACCAAAUUAUCGCUUAUUGAUCCAAAAGCUUGAUCAACGGAACAAGUUACCCUAGGGAUAACAGCGCA
rnacentral:rRNA from 1 species